rnacentral:rRNA from 1 species
UUAGUUUUUUAAUUAAAAACUGGAAUGAAAGAAAUAACUAAAGACAAUCUUUCUUAAGAAAAUUUUUCUUAAUUUAACUUUCUAGUAAAAAGGCUAGAAUAAUAAUUUUAGACAAGAAGACCCUAUAAAUUUUCACAUUAAAAAAAUUUAAUAAUUAAUUUUAAUGUUUUGCUGGGGCGGUAAAAAAAUAAACAUUUUUAAAUUUCCAAAACUUUAUAGUUGUAAUAUCUAGAAAUUCUAAAAAUUAAUAAAAUACUUUAGGGAUAACAGCGCAAUUUAUUUUAAAAGCUCUAAUUAACAAAUAAAAUUACGACCUCGAUGUUGAAUUAAGAAAUCUAUAUUACGAAAAAGU